UAUUCUAUAGUUUAUAAAAAAUUAGCGAUUGCAAGUCGCUAGAUUCCUUAGGAUAGAAUAU
rnacentral:tRNA from 1 species